GACGAACGCUGGCGGCGCGCCUAACACAUGCAAGUCGAACGAGCGAGAGAGAGCUUGAUUUCUUGAGCGAGCGGCGAACGGGUGAGUAACGCGUGAGGAACCCGCCUCAAAGAGGGGGACAACAGUUGGAAACGACUGCUAAUACCGCAUAAGCCCACGGUGCCGCAUGGCACAGAGGGAAAAGGAGCAAUCCGCUUUGAGAUGGCCUCGCGUCCGAUUAGCUAGUUGGUGAGGUAACGGCCCACCAAGGCGACGAUCGGUAGCCGGACUGAGAGGUUGAACGGCCACAUUGGGACUGAGACACGGCCCAGACUCCUACGGGAGGCAGCAGUGGGGAAUAUUGCACAAUGGGGGAAACCCUGAUGCAGCGACGCCGCGUGGAGGAAGAAGGUCUUCGGAUUGUAAACUCCUGUUGUUGGGGAAGAUAAUGACGGUACCCAACAAGGAAGUGACGGCUAACUACG
rnacentral:rRNA from 1 species